GGGGCCAUAGCUCAGCUGGGAGAGCGCCUCGUUCGCAAUGAGGAGGUCAGCGGUUCGAUCCCGCUUGGCUCCACCA
rnacentral:tRNA from 1 species